rnacentral:lncRNA from 1 species
GCGCCUUCAAAUUUUAUCAUGGUAUAUAAUUUUGAUGUAAAAUGUUAUUAGGAUUAUCUCAAAAUCUAUUUUUCUAUGUAAUUAUAAAAUUUUAAAUUUAAAAAAUGGUUAAAAUCAAGUAGAUCUAUAAACAUAUGAAAAUCUUGAAAAUGGACGGUGUAGAUAAUAUGUUGUAAAAUGCACUAUUUCUGAGACUUAAAAUCUUUUUAAAUGUCAUGGUCAUACAUCUUGAUGUUGAGAUGAUCAAUCAAAGGGUUUUUCAACAUUAAAACUACUUUUUCUGAUGGAUUUUUG